rnacentral:rRNA from 1 species
CACGUAGGCACCAAGCGUUGUCCGGAUUUAUUGGGCGUAAAGAGCUCGUAGGCGGUUCAGUAAGUCGGGUGUGAAAACUCUGGGCUCAACCCAGAGACGCCACCCGAUACUGCUGUGACUUGAGUACGGUAGGGGAGUGGGGAAUUCCACGUGUAGCAGUGAAAUGCGUAGAUAUGUGGAGGAACACCGAUGGCGAAGGCAGCCCCCUGGGUUAACACUGACGCUCAUGCACGAAAGCGUGGGGAGCAAACAGG